UUCAGCACACAGCCUAAGUUUGCAACUAAAAUUCUAUAUCACAGUCAAUUUGUCCACAAAAAGGAGUCUUUUUUUAUUUAUUUUUAGGGGAUUAAGUUUCAUUUAUAUUACCUUUAUCAUGUAUUACAGCAAUAUAACUUAUUAAUAUCACUGAACAAUCUGCUAAUCUAGUGAAAACCAGCUUAUUCAAGAUUACAUAUUUAAUGUAAACUUUAAAUGAUUCGUUGCACUUGUAAAUGAGGGUGUGUUAUUACAAGGAAAUAAUAAAACGGUCUUGAUCUGCAAGGCAAAAUUUACAGAUGUACAGUGUAUUGAAUAUGAUGAAACCGAUGCACUGAAUGCUUUACACCAUACACAUCAGAACAACACAUGGGCACCUGCAAAGUACUGACUAGCUUCCUGUUUCAAUUUGGAUGCAUGAUAACAUGGAAUAAUUGCAUUAUUACUUCAGUCAGGAUUGUCUGUUGAACUGACAGACAGACAAACCCACAGACACAUGCACCGAUGGGAGGACAAACAGCCAGGACAACACAAAUUUUAUCUCCCUUCGUCUUCGGUGGGGGAUAAUAGUAACAACAAGAGCUGUCCAUAAGACAGCGCAGUCACCUUUUCUCAGUGAUUGACUCUGAAUUAGAGCUUUGUCAGUAAAAAAAUUCCAAGUUAAAACGGGACAUAACUCUGUCAAAA
rnacentral:lncRNA from 1 species